rnacentral:misc_RNA from 1 species
AAGGAGCAUCUGCACUGCUCGCUUCGUAGAGUCGAAGGUCGAGAGUGCCAGAGCCGCUUAUGUUCCCGAAUGUGGAACUGCGGAGCUCAUGGGUGGAACGCUGACAUGUGCCGGCAUCAACUUCACUGCUGAGUCAGUGGGGCGCCGGAUGUAGUCGACACACUGUUGGGUCCUGAAAGAACAGACGUUCUUUCCAGGCAAAAAAUACGAUCCGCCAGGAUUUCCUCGAUACCGCCGGCUUGGCCGGAGAGGUCCUGUGAAGUUAGUUCUGGUGGGUGUGUUGUUUGAGAACUGCACAGUGGACGCGAGCAUCUUUGUUA